AGCAGAUGGCAGACUCCAGCAGAGCCCUCCACAGCCCUCUUGGCCCCCGCAAGGCAAGGAGAAAGGAGAGGGCGGGGGAGGCUGGCCCAGCUCCUCUGAGCUGGGCCUCCAGCAGCACGCUGUGCGUGUGCCCGCAUCGCAUUCACAUCUGCUCUCCCCCUCCCAAGUAUUGAUCCCGGGCCCAGAGUCUAGAGGCAUCUCGGAGGGCUCAGGCUGGCUGUGGGCUUCCCAGCGCUCCUGAACGAUUGCUGCCUGGGGGCUGUGCUGCUGCAUUUCUGAACAGCCACGGAGCGGGAUACUCUUGAGUUCCACGUGGGCCACUAAGUAGGGGAGGGAGCAACUGUUCACAGGUCUCUGGGCCCUUAAGAACCCCAAACUGAGGCCCCUUCAGACCUGGGAGAGGAAAAAAGAGGCCCAGAAACGUGGCCUGGGCACAGCAGAGGCCCUAUCCUUACUCUCAACGAAGGGUGCCAUUUCCAGGCAGGUGAAACAAUGGCGGGUCGGGGGUGAGUGAAAGGAUGGAGAAAAACCGAGGUGGCAGAGAGAAGAGGGAGAGGUAGAGGGGAUGGCAGGCAACACCCACCUGGCUCCUGUGCUCACAGCGCAGCACCCCUUACCCGUCAGCCUCUUAGCGAGCUCUGCUGCACCUCAGAAUCCUCCUUAACCCAGCUCUUCAGGAAGCCACCGCUGCCAGGAGAAGCCGCAGUGUGUCCUGUUGUGUCCGGAAUUGGUGGGCUCUUGGUCUCACUGACUUCAAGAAUGAAGCUACGGACCCUCGCGGUGAGUGUUACAGUUCCUGAAGGCGGCCUGUCCGGAGUUUGUUCCUUCUGAUGUUCAGAUAUGUUACAGCCUUCCGGUGGGUUCGUGAUCUCGCUGGCUCAGGAGUGAAGCUGCAGACCUUCGCGGUGUUACCGCUCUUAAUGCGGCGAGUCUGGAGUUGUUCGUUCCUCCAGCCCUCGCAGGGAAGGAGAAUUCAGCUGAGACGACUUCAGUUCACAACCACAACAAAAAUAGCUUCUCCCGGGGAAGACACAUUCUGCUAACAAGGUCACUUUUGUUUUGCUUCCCCUGCCAUCUGGUUGAGCGGCACCAGGGGCUGGCUUUGGUACCAGCUUAUUCCGCGGAGAGGGGAUGGGAGCCGGGUGGCGCUGCAGAAGGCUUCUCAGCUUCCUGGCAAGGGGCGCCAGCACAAAGUUACCUUCAGACAUCCCCAGAAAGCACGCAGGCAGAUGGAGCCCCGGUUUCACCCAGCCCGACUCUCAUGCGCUCCUCGCCUGCAGAAGGUGAGACACCAGCAGAAAGCAACAAGCAGGUGGGCGUCAGAGGAGAGCAAGAACGCGACAGAAUGGGAAAGCUAUCUUCGUCUUGCAAAACAUUCCAGAACUCCACCUAACUCACUCAGAGUCUGAGUUCCAGAAGGACAACAAAGAAGCAUGAUUUUGUUUCUUGUUUUUAUUUUUCUUCUUUUAAUUCCCCUCCUUUCUACCUUCAAGGUUCAGCUUCUUUCAGUCAUUGAUCCUGUGACCUCAGGGACACUCAAUCACCUACCUUGGCCUCAGUGUUCGCAUGUGUAGAAUGGGAAUCACUUGCGCAGACCUUAUGCAGUGAUGGGGAAGGUGAAAAGAGCAAAUGUGAUUGUCUAGGGGCCCCUGGCUGAGGUUCUUGAGAGAGAACAUACUGGAAUUCCAUGCUUUGUAGCCUACAAGGGCUUUCAUGCAGACAAUUUAGUAAGAUCCCAUGACAGCCAUCUACAGAGCUUUCACAUGACUUAAAUGGUCUGCCCCCGGUUACUUCAAUCGACAGGUGUAGAGCUGGGAUUUAAACACAGACAUUUUCGUUAAAAAGACAGUGUUGCUUUUACUAUGCGGUGAUUUUCAAUCUUUUAAAAUAGGAUAGGAAGCCAUGAAUAUACACACAAAAGAUCAGAUACAGUUUUAAGGGGUUCACAACCUCCUAAAGCUAUGCCCCUCCUAGGAGGAGUCCAGGGGUCUCAGAGGUCUCAGAAUAUUUGCUGGGGGCUGGAGAGGGGUGAAGACAAAACUUUUAGUAAAAUAAAGGAGGAAUCCUUAAAAUGA